UUUAAUGGUGGCCAUGCGCAGGGCGUCUUCGGGCGCGCCGGAUUUUCCAUGUGGGCCGGUCUACCAACCUUCGUAUGGCCACCACCCUU
rnacentral:antisense_RNA from 1 species